rnacentral:rRNA from 1 species
UGAGGAAUAUUGGUCAAUGGGCGCAAGCCUGAACCAGCCAUGCCGCGUGAAGGAAGAAGGAUCUAUGGUUUGUAAACUUCUUUUAUUUAGGAAUAAACUCUCGGACGAGUCCGAGCCUGAAGGUACUAAAUGAAUAAGCACCGGCUAACUCCGUGCCAGCAGCCGCGGUAAUACGGAGGGUGCAAGCGUUAUCCGGAAUCAUUGGGUUUAAAGGGUCCGCAGGCGGUCUUAUAAGUCAGUGGUGAAAUCUCGUAGCUUAACUAUGAAACUGCCAUUGAUACUGUAGGACUUGAAUUCGGUCGAAGUGGGCGGAAUAUGACAUGUAGCGGUGAAAUGCGUAGAUAUGUCAUAGAACACCGAUAGCGAAGGCAGCUCACUAGGCCUGGAUUGACGCUCAGGG